ACGGGUGAGUAACGCGUGGGAACGUGCCUUUCGGUUCGGAAUAACUCAGGGAAACUUGAGCUAAUACCGGAUACGCCCUUUGGGGGAAAGAUUUAUUGCCGAAAGAUCGGCCCGCGUCCGAUUAGCUAGUUGGUGUGGUAAUGGCGCACCAAGGCGACGAUCGGUAGCUGGUCUGAGAGGAUGAUCAGCCACACUGGGACUGAGACACGGCCCAGACUCCUACGGGAGGCAGCAGUGGGGAAUAUUGGACAAUGGGCGCAAGCCUGAUCCAGCCAUGCCGCGUGAGUGAUGAAGGCCCUAGGGUUGUAAAGCUCUUUCGCCAGGGACGAUAAUGACGGUACCUGGAUAAGAAGCCCCGGCUAACUUCGUGCCAGCAGCCGCGGUAAUACGAAGGGGGCUAGCGUUGUUCGGAAUCACUGGGCGUAAAGCGCACGUAGGCGGAUCUUUAAGUCAGGGGUGAAAUCCCGAGGCUCAACCUCGGAACUGCCUUUGAUACUGGAGGUCUCGAGUUCGGGAGAGGUGAGUGGAACUGCGAGU
rnacentral:rRNA from 1 species